CCCAAAUAUACAUGGGGGAAAACAGAAUAACCAUGUGCCAGCAUCCCUUUACCCUGUGGUGGAAGUAUGGUCAAAACAUGAGACCCUUAGACCAGAGGGUAAACAAGCUCGAAA